UACGUAGGGUGCAAGCGUUGUCCGGAAUUAUUGGGCGUAAAGAGCUCGUAGGCGGUCUGUCGCGUCUGGUGUGAAAAUCCAGGGCUUAACCCUGGACCUGCAUCGGGUACGGGGCAGACUAGAGUGCGGUAGGGGAGAUCGGAAUUCCUGGUGUAGCGGUGAAAUGCGCAGAUAUCAGGAGGAACACCGGUGGCGAAGGCGGAUCUCUGGGCCGUAACUGACGCUGAGGAGCGAAAGCAUGGGGAGCGAACAGG
rnacentral:rRNA from 1 species